rnacentral:rRNA from 1 species
UACGAAGGUGGCGAGCGUUGUUCGGAUUUACUGGGCGUAAAGGGCGUGCAGGCGGUUUGUUAAGUGCAGGGUGAAAGCUCCCGACUCAACUGGGAGAGGUCCUUGCAUACUGGCGAACUCGAGGGAGGCAGAGGAAAGUGGAAUUCCCGGUGUAGUGGUGAUAUGCGUAGAUAUCGGGAGGAACACCUGUGGCGAAGGCGGCUUUCUGGGCCUUACCUGACGCUGAGGCGCGAAAGCUAGGGGAGCGAACGGG